UACGUAGGAUCCAAGCGUUAUCCGGAAUCAUUGGGGUUAAAGGGUCCGUAGGCGGGACAAUAAGUCAGUGGUGAAAGUCUGUGGCUCAACCAUAGAAUUGCCAUUGACACUGUUGUCCUUGAGUUAUUGUGAAGUGGUUGGAAUAUGUAGUGUAGCGGUGAAAUGCAUAGAUAUUACAUAGAAUACCGAUUGCGAAGGCAGGUCACUAAUAAUUUACUGACGCUGAUGGACGAAAGCGUAGGUGGCGAACAGG
rnacentral:misc_RNA from 1 species